UACGGAGGGAGCUAGCGUUGUUCGGAAUCACUGGGCGUAAAGCGCACGUAGGCGGACUCUUAAGUCGGCGGUGAAAUCCUGGAGCUCAACUCCAGAACUGCCUUCGAUACUGGGAGUCUCGAGUUCGGGAGAGGUGAGUGGAACUGCGAGUGUAGAGGUGAAAUUCGUAGAUAUUCGCAAGAACACCAGUGGCGAAGGCGGCUCACUGGCCCGAUACUGACGCUGAGGUGCGAAAGCGUGGGGAGCAAACAGG
rnacentral:rRNA from 1 species